UACGAAGGGGGCUAGCGUUGCUCGGAAUCACUGGGCGUAAAGGGUGCGUAGGCGGGUCUUUUAAGUCAGGGGUGAAAUCCUGGAGCUCAACUCCAGAACUGCCUUUGAUACUGAGGGUCUCGAGACCGGUAGAGGUAAGUGGAACUGCGAGUGUAGAGGUGAAAUUCGUAGAUAUUCGGAAGAACACCAGUGGCGAAGGCGAGUCCCUGGACACUUCCUGACACUGAGGCACGAAAGCUAGGGGAGCAAACAGG
rnacentral:rRNA from 1 species